AAAAACUUUAUUUUGAAACUAUGGCUUAUUGCUUUAAAGAUAAUUACCUUGCUGACUCAUAGUUUACACUGUCAUUGACAUUAUUCUAGGACUCAAUAUGUCCAUUCACCAACACCUUCAACACUUUUACAGCUGACAUAAGUGAUUUUGUCCUAGCAUUUGAACAACAAUGAAUAAAAACCAUAAGUAAAAUAGCACGUAAUCUGGUUGAGAAGGCCAGAUACCUGUGACGGACGAAGACAAUGGUAGCAUGCAAAUUCCAACAGAGGAGUUGUUGGCAUUUGAAACUACACAAAGGAAGCUUUCAACAAUAUAUAGGUUAUUUGUUUUUUUAGCCUUUCUUUGAAUCCAUGAAAAUAAACUUCACAUUUCCGUGUUUUGGUCACUGUU